AACAGGGAGCUUGUGAAGCAGGCUGAGAGGAAGUAAUCGAACUUCGACCGUUUGAACCUGAUAUGGGUAAUGCCAGCGCAGGGAGAUAAUGUG
rnacentral:ncRNA from 1 species